GUCAGAUGUGAGAGCCUUCUGUUCAACGGAGGAAUUGCAUCUGAAACUGCGAGUCUUGAGUGUAGGAGGGGAGAAUGGAACUUCUGGUGGAGCGGUGAAAUGCGUAGAUAUCAGAAGGAACGCCGGCGGCGAAAAGCGAUUCUCUGGCCUAUUACUGACACUCAGUGCGCGAAAGCUAGGGGAGCAAACGGGAUUAGAUACCCCGGUAGUCCUAGCCGUAAACGAUGGGCACUAAGUAGAGGGG
rnacentral:rRNA from 1 species